UUACUCGCAGGAAAAGGGAAGGGUGCAUCAUGGGAUGUGGUUUUUGUGUUGGGACUGCGUAUUGAAGAUAACAUGUCGGAUAGUCUAGACAACCACAUUUUCCCCUCAUAUAUGGGAUGGAUUUGGGGGAGUCCGGAGUUCCGGACUAUCUAGACGGUUGAAUUUUGGGCAGCCCGUUGGGUGCCCGUUUGAUACCAAAACAUGACGUAUGAAGGAGAAAUGAGUUUCGACCUUGAAGACGACCUUAAUCAUCUGUUUGAUUCAUAUGCAUUAUAGCCCGUAGCAAUGCACGGGCGUUUUACUAGUCUGAAGAAUAUCCGUGUCAACGGCGGAGCUAUGUGGAGGCUCGAGGGGGCCGUGGCCCCCCCAGCCCAAACAGGAUUUUUUUUCUUACUAGGUAUUAGUAAUGUAAGUAAUGGGCUAAUGGCCCAUCGUGCACGCGCGCACACUGUUUGCCUCUAUUGCCCGUUCGGCCAUUCCCCAACCACGCUCGUGCCGCCCAGUGUUGCUGCCGCCGCACUCGCUCGAUGCGCCUGCGCUAACUAGAAGCUCGCCCUGAUCUGCGUGUGCCGCCGUCGAACAUCCCAGCGCAGAGGAGGGAGGAACAAGGGCAUCGUCGUCGGGCGUCGGCUGCUCUUCGCCACUGGCCUCGCGGGUCUGGUGGUCGUCCACAUCGGACGGCCGGCCGGCCGGCCACUCCUCCGGUCCUCCCGCGGAUUUGUAAGUGCUCAUGUGGCUGCGCCCACCUUAAACUAUUGGACACUAGGAAUUUGGAUCCUCCGUCCGGCCGUCCGCGUGAUCUGUACGAGUAGGAUAGUGAAAUUGAGGAAACAGGGGCAGCACCAAACAUUGGAAUUUUUGUUGCUACCUAUAGGAGUUUGAUUAGUAAUUUAGCAAUUAAGUAUGCCUAUUCAUCUGGUCUAAUUGUGGAUUUUUUGUGUUUUGCAUCACAAAUUUGUAUUUGAUCUCAAAACGGGAUAAGAUUGAUCAAGUGACCAUGGUUAAUGGCAGCAGCAGCAACAUUCAGUCGUACUUCAAAAGACAAAGGACAGAUCAACAAGAUGCAGUAGCAGAAGAUCCUCCACCAGCGCAACCUUUACCUCUGCUUCUUGAAUUGGAACAACAACAUGAAAAUCAAGAUGAAGAGCCUCAAACAAAUAAUCCAGUUCCUCUUCCUGUUGUGUUGCGAGGUAUGGAAUUCUUGGAGGGAGAUCCUGCAUUGCAACCACAAAUUUGGCAAUACCCACCAAAUCAAAGAGAUAGCGUGCGGACAUCAUAUUUGUUGCUAGGUCCUAUGCAACCAAAACUGAAGGAGUAUAAAGCUUCUGGUAAAAAGGGCCAUCAGGGUUGCUUCCAAUAUAAGUGGUUUGAAAAAUUCCCAUCAUGGCUAGAGUACUCAGAGGAUAGUCAUCGUGCAUAUUGUUUAUUUUGCUUCGUUUCUAGCAGAAAUUUCUCAUCAAAAGGAGACUCUGAUGUAUUCACAGUGCAUGGUUUUGAUAACUGGAAGAAGGUAAAUGUUUUGAGUUACGAUUUUUAGGUCCCGGGUGCCUAGACACCCGGUUAUCAUGACCAUCCAAGCAGUACGCGGCUCAUUGGGAUAUGUGCGGGUCUCUGCACCACGGUUUGGAUUUGUAGGCUAGGUGAAUAGUAAGCGCAGUAGACUGAAAUUAUGUGAAACGCAUCUGGGCCGCUACUGUUUAUCAUAGGCAGAAUCCGUAGCCUCUGUCACCAGCCAGUCCACAUGGAUAUUGAGAUGGUUGCAUCCCAUCGAAAAAGAUGAUAGACAUGUCGGCCCGUGUUUCAAACCAACGACAAGACCUCACCCCCAAGCCUGCGUUCGUCUCGAACCCCUUGCAGAGAAACAUACCACCCGUCGUGGGUGCCAAUGGAAUCCAAGCAGAUCGGCCGAGAUGGCAUCAUGGCAUGGGACACAUUGAUUCCAACCAGGUAGAGGAACCUGCGGCUGUUCAUGGUCUAGAAAUUCUGGGAUCAAUCGUCCCAGAUCUGGAAACUGAAGCAAUCCCCUGAUCUGAAGUGGUAGAUGGUGGCGUGUCUGAUCUCUUCCCGCAUGGCGUCCCUGGCGGUGAUGCACAGAACGGCGGCCGGAGAUUCGAACACUAGGACGUAUCAGGCAACGGGAGGUUGGAACACAUGUACUGGAUUCAUAAUGGACUUGCAGCCAGAGCAACCCCGAGCAAACUGAGCUCGAUUGAAAGAUAUCUCCUAAAGUAUGAAGGCAAGCACGCACCAGACACUUUUGCUCCUGUAGAUGGCAUGUCGUUUGAUUCAUGCCAAGAAGUGUACGAACAGUAUAACCUAUACGCUUGGGAGAAUGGAUUCGGAAUUCUUCGUGGAAAAUCCAGAUGGGGAGAUGGGCGGCAUUACCAGCUGAUGUACGAAAUUGUUUGCUAGUGCCAGGUCAGAUACAUAGCGUCAUGCUUGAAGGUUCAGUAGAAAUACAUCUUGUUGCCCCAUUUCGUGAUGAGCAAAUUUAAGAUGGUCCAUAUUUCAAAAAAAAUUAAGAUGGUCCAAGUUAAUAUGAGCCGUCAAUUUUUCC